rnacentral:lncRNA from 1 species
GGGGUGGCGGCUGGCUCGGCAGCGGCGGGGGCGGCNUCGCUCACUCGCUCCCGGUGCGCGCCGCCCGCUGCCUAGCUCUGGGCUGCCCGCAGCUCCGGCUUCUGGCCCGACGCUCCGGCGCGUCUCGGGCUCCGGACAACAGGACCUCGACUGGCUGGCUGAGCCCGGGGCGAACCGCGAAGCAGGGCCCAGGAUGGCACUCUUGGUGGCAGGGCUCGUUGUCUGCUCCCUCCUGCAAACCAUCUUCUCCCUGAACCCCGAGGACCCCAACGUGUGCAGCCACUGGGAAAG